AUGCUAUCAAACUCUGUAAGAAGAUGCCGAUGAGAUGACCUCUCUACUGCACCUCCCGCUUUCCUUCUCACGCCACUGACAGUGGUGGUGACUGGCCAGCAACACUUGUGCUCACUGUCCCUAUGCUCUAUGGAGAGGGACUCAUACAAAUCCCACUUCAACCCAGUGGGAGAGGGAGAAAUUUUGGAGAAAAGCUGAGAAAAGAAUGCUAUGAUCUCACAGCAGUGAAGACAGUUGUAGAAAAACAAUACAGAGCCGUCUUCUGAACCAGUAUCAACAAAACGCUUCCCAACAGGAUCCCUGACACCAAAAAGUCCCCACUGACGCCAGUGUAAUUAUCAUUCUCGGACACGAGGCCUUGUCAGGCCACACAGAUAAUCACCUCCAACUGCAGCCGACGAUUAGUCGGUCAGUCAGCUGACAUCAAGCACUCCUGGGAGGUUCUCAGAGGUGACAACAGAGGAGAAGGCCUGGCAGCACCCUCUGUAGGAACCCUGAAAACUGACAGGAGCUGAGGGUGUGGAGAAGGAGGCAGAGGCAGAGGCAGAGGCAUGCACCUUCAGGGUGAUAUGCAGCAAUGGGCAUUCUCUGUUCCCUGGGCUGGGAUGGUUCCAGGUGAAGAGGAACAAGAACUCACAGUUCUCUCAUCGAACUCACGAGAACAUCCUUUCAUUUUCGCUCCCGUGUACUGACUAGAUCCAACGGUUCGAUCUCUGCUCUGUGGAACCUCCUCUUUGGUUUUGCACCUCCACGCUAAUUGCAGCUAUUUCCACUUGCCAGAAAAGUUGUCCUUGUGGCUUGGCUUGUCAGCCUGCCCAUCUUUCCAGUCUAUCAAGAACAAAGUGGUGUUGAUGUAUGAAGAUAUUAUAACAAAACCCACUGUUUGGGAUGCCUACUUUAAAA